rnacentral:sRNA from 1 species
UUGUACCGAUUCGAUCGGGAUAGUCAUCACAUAAAAAACAAUACCGAGCAAGCCUCUCUUGUUAAUGGCGGGCCAUAUAAACUCCAGUAACUGGAACUAAGUCGGAAGAUCGGUGGAUUACAAAGACAGAGGGCUCUCAAAUCUUAAUUACUCGGACUUAUCAUCACAUCAUCG